rnacentral:lncRNA from 1 species
AUGUGGAGAAUUUCUUUAGCCAAAGCUCUGGCUUCAUUGAACACUAGAGAAUUCACACUAGAGCUAGGCCUCAUGUGCAUGGUGAAUAUAGGAUGUCCUUUAGCCAGAGCUCCACCCUUAGUUAAUCACAGAGCGUUCGCACUGGAGCAAAGCCCUGUGAAUUUGGUAAAUAUGGGAAAUCACUUCAACAGAAAGCCCUGGACUCAAUCAACACUGGAGAGUGCCUGCUGGAGAAAGGCUUCCAUAUUCACUAUAACAACUCAGGAGGAAAGCCUCUGUGAAUGUAAAGGAGGCAUCGAACUCCAUACAUCUGAACAUCCACAGUGGAGAGGUUCCCCACAAAUUCCAGUUCAAAUAAUGUUCUCCUGGAUAAAGAAGAUUAUAAACAAAAUAGCACUGUGAAACAGAGGAUUCAUCUGAUUAGGUCUGCCAAAUUUAGCAUGCCCUGCUUGCUUUUGGUUACCUGCUUUUUAUCUUUUUCUUUUCUUUUUUUUUUUUCAUGAAGCUGAAAGCCACAGUAAGUGAAGGCUGCACCACUGAACGCUGAAACUUAACCUUCAUUAGCGGCAUAAUAAAUUGAACGUUUAUAAAUCACCAUGGUAAUGGUCACUUCAGUUAUUUUUCAGGAAUGUGGGACAGCUCCUGACCAGUUCAAACUGGUUGACUCUUCAGCUGGGCCUGUGUAAAUGCCGGAGAGCAUUUUGACAUCAGAGGACCAAAAAUUCCACCCUCAGAUCAUAAUACCAUCAUUUUCUGCAAAUGUGUCCUAUGAAAUGCCGUAAAUCCCAACUAUGUUUGCAUAGAUCACUGAUUGCUUCAUUUUUCCCCCACUGACAAUCACCUUUUCCCACAUCUUAGCUGACCCCACUUCUAUAACCUAUAAAUAUCCCUAAGCCUUAACUUCUGGGAGGUGGAGUUGAGACCUGUUCUUCACCUGCUCACUGGCUGCCUCAUGAAUAGUCUUCUCUUUUGCAAAAUCCAUUAUCUCAGUGAUUGACUUGCUGCAGUUGGGCAGAAAGAACCUGGUUGAUGAUCAUUGUAGAAGCUGUAGAUACUCGAUUAUUCACUGUCAUCUGUUGCAUCAGCUAUUCUGUCUCCUCUCUACUUUCAUGUAGACAUAGAUACAGAUAUCUUGUUUGACAUAUUUUAAAGAGCAUUUUUAUUACCCUCCCCAUGAUGUAGAAAUCUCAGUUCAUUGGAAGCCUUCACCUUCAUAAACUCUUCUUCAAAUCUUGUGCAUGUCUUUUCAUCCUUCUACCAAUCUCCAGGUAGUUGGCUCUUUCUUAUUCCCUUCUCAACUCCAGUGUUGCUUCCUUAGAAGCCUCCUUUCACAACUGAUCUCAUGGAAUCCUUCCUUCUCCCCAGUUCAUGUCACUCUACCCCAAUCCUGUCUUAUUAUUUUUGUUUCACUUAUCACUACCUGCAAUAAUUAUUUUUUCUACCUCCUUCAACUAGAAAGUGAGCACCAUGAAGAUAAAAAUAGUACUGUCCCCUUAGGGCCUAUUACUGACCCAGUCACAUACUAGAUAUCAAAUAGAUAUCUGUUGAAUACAGUACUGAUAUUCCAAACAUGAACUGGUACAGCACAGGCAAUAAAUAAUCAGAAGAGACGCCAGAUCUUUCUAGUACUGGGCUAUGUACUUCACAUACAUCUUAAUAUUUAACCGUCAUGAGAACAUUCUAUAAAAACCAUUAUUGCUGUCUUAAGUUUUGUACAACUGAUCUGAAAAAGAUUAAGAAACACCUCUGGUUACAAAUGGUAAGCUGGUAUCCAUGUUUCCUGCUUUAUUUAGGAAGAGCUUUCCUUCCCAUUCUUCAUUCUAAAAC